rnacentral:rRNA from 1 species
UACGAAGGGGGCUAGCGUUGCUCGGAAUCACUGGGCGUAAAGGGUGCGUAGGCGGGUCUUUAAGUCAGGGGUGAAAUCCUGGAGCUCAACUCCAGAACUGCCUUUGAUACUGAGGAUCUUGAGUUCGGGAGAGGUGAGUGGAACUGCGAGUGUAGAGGUGAAAUUCGUAGGUAUUAGGAAGAACACCAGUGGCGAAGGCGGCUCACUGGUCCGGUACUGACGCUGAGGUGCGAAAGCGUGGGGAGCAAACAGG